GAGUGACGGUAAUGGGUAAGAAGCACCGGCUAACUACGUGCCAGCAGCCGCGGUGAUACGUAGGGUGCGAGCGUUGUCCGGAUUUAUUGGGCGUAAAGGGCUCGUAGGUGGUUGAUCGCGUCGGAAGUGUAAUCUUGGGGCUUAACCCUGAGCGUGCUUUCGAUACGGGUUGACUUGAGGAAGGUAGGGGAGAAUGGAAUUCCUGGUGGAGCGGUGGAAUGCGCAGAUAUCAGGAGGAACACCAGUGGCGAAGGCGGUUCUCUGGCCUUUCCUGACGCUGAGGAGCGAAAGCGUGGGGAGCGAACAGGCUUAGAUACCCUGGUAGUCCACGCUGUAAACGGUGGGUACUAGGUGUGGGGUCCAUUCCACGGGUUCCGUGCCGUAGCUAACGCUUUAAGUACCCCGCCUGGGGAGUACGGCCGCAAGGCUAAAACUCAUAGGAAUUGACGGGGCCCCGCACAAGCGGCGGAGCAUGCGGAAUAAUUCGAUGCAACGCGUAGAACCUUACCUGGGUUUGACAUGGAUCGGGAGUGCUCAGAGAUGGGUGUGCCUCUUUUGGGGUCGGUUCACAGGUGGUGCAUGGCUGUCGUCAGCUCGUGUCGUGAGAUGUUGGGUUAAGUCCCGCAACGAGCGCAACCCUUGUUCACUGUUGCCAGCACGUUAUGGUGGGGACUCAGUGGAGACCGCCGGGGUCAACU
rnacentral:rRNA from 1 species